GACGUAGGGCGCAAGCGUUGUCCGGAAUUAUUGGGCGUAAAGAGCUCGUAGGCGGCUUGUUGCGUCGACUGUGAAAACCCGUGGCUCAACCAUGUGGUCUGCAGUCGAUACGGGCAGGCUAGAAUUCGGUAGGGGAGACUGGAAUUUACGGUGUAGCAGUGAAAUGCGUAGAUAUCGGGAGGAACACCGGUGGCGAAGGCGGUUCUCUGGGCCUUACCUGACGCUGAGGAGCGAAAGCAUGGGGAGCGAACAGG
rnacentral:rRNA from 1 species